CCUGACAGAAAUUUUUUAUCCUAAGAUAGUUAAAAUCUUCCUUACAAUCUAAUUUGUAUUUCGCACUCAAAUGAAAAUCAGACAGGAAUUAUUGUUUAUAAGAUUAUCUAUUAUUACCGCUCCAUCUUCCAGCCAUUUAUGUAACUUUAAGUCUAGCAUAUAAUGUGGGAGAGAGGGUAUUAACUUGUUAUACAAAUUAAACUCUUUUCUGCUUUUCACCCACCUAGUCAAGAUAUAAUUUAGAGUGACACUAUAAGAACUAUAUGUUAAUGAACUACCAUGUUUUGUCUGAAUUAUCCAAAAUAAGGGUCCUAACUCUACUGAAGACCCUUCAACUCGAGUUAAUUCCUGCUUGAUUUCAUACCAUAUCUCCACUAUAGAACUCUUUAGCUGAGUAGUAAAAGCAUGCGAUAAACUACAGGCCUCUUGAUAGUCUUUCAAGAUGGGGACCUCUAGUCCACCUAACUUAACUUUUAAAGAUAAUCAGUUCGAAUUUAUUCUUGGAG